AUGAAGGGUUGGGGCGCCAACCUCGGCCGAGACCUGCGGGAUCGCAAGAAUGCCCUCCUCACCUCCAUCCAAGCUCUUGACCUCCAGGCUAACUCGGUGGGACUAGCCCCCGAUGCGUGGUUGCUUUGCUACGACCUUAAGGAUCAGCUCACGGUCAUCUACACCGACGAGGAGGCAUAUUGGCGACUUCGGGGGACCCAAAAGUGGGUCUUCAAGGGUGACGCCAAUACGGCCUAUUUCCAGGCCAUCGACAAUGGUCGUAGGAGGCGGAAUACCAUCCCCUUGCUUUGGGACGGAGAGACCCUACUGCAGCGCCCGGCCGAUAUCCGCGCUCAUGUCGAUGGCUUCUAUAAAGCCCUCUUUUCCACACACACCCCCCCCCCCCAGGGGAAGCUUGGCCCUAGCUGCGGACUUUUGGGUUGGCCCCAGUGCAUCUCCACCGCAGAAAAUGCCACCCUCGCGGCUCCGUUCGGUGAGGAGCAAGUCUGGGCGGCGAUUAGAAGCAUGAAUCCAUCGUCCGCCCCUGGCCCCGACGGCCUACCAGUGAAGUUCUUCCAGGCCUUCUGGACUGUCAUCAAACCGGAGGUCAUGGCCCUCUUUGAGGAUUUCUAUGUGGGCACCAUUGACCUCCACCGUCUUGACUACGGGAUCAUCACAUUGAUCCCCAAGGUGCCUGGAGCCUCAGACAUUCGUCAGUUCAGGCCGAUCACCGUGAUCAAUGUGAUCUUUCGCAUUCUGGCAAAGGGGUACGCCAAUAGGGUGGCCCCUUUGGCCGACCGCAUCACCCACCCUGACCAGUCCGCCUUCAUCCAAGGCCGUAUAUUCUAG
rnacentral:rRNA from 1 species